UUGCACCUCUUCUUGUCUCUCUCUCACGGCCUUUUUGACUCGGUCUAUCUGUCCGUCUCGCUUUCUCUGUUUGUCUCUUUCAUGCUCGGUCUCUCUCUCUAUGAUUUCACACUGAUGACUUUAAUUCCUCAGGGUCGUGCUGCCUGAGGUAUUACUCUCGCUGGGUUAAAUCGAGCUUGCUGGUGCUGCUGUGAGAUUUAACAUCAGCACGAUGUUCGUAACUCUUGUACGAUGAUGGUGAUAAUGGUGGUGGUGAUGGGGAGGAGGGUGGUGAUGGUGAGAAGAUGAUGGUGGUGGUGGUGGUGAUGAAGAUGGAGGUGAUGAAGAGGAUGGUGGUGGUGGUGAUGAUGGUGGUGAUGAAGAUGGUGGUGAUGAAGAGGAUGAUGGUGGUGGUGAUGAAGAGGGUGGUGAUGAUGAUGAUGAUGAUGAAGACGGUGGUGAUGAAGAGGAUGAUGAUGGUGGUGAUGAAGAGGAUGAUAGUGGUGGUGAUGGUGGUGAUGAAGAGGGUGGUGAUGAUGAUGAUGAUGAUGGUGGUGAUGAAGAGGAUGAUAGUGGUGAUGAAGAGGGUGGUGAUGAUGAUGAUGAUGAUGAUGGUGGUGAUGAAGAGGAGGGUGAUGGUGAUGGUGGUGAUUAAGAGGAGGAUGAUGGUGGUGAUGAAGAAGAGGGUGAUGGUGAUGAAGAUGAUGAUGAUGUGCUGUAAUGAAGUCAGGCGAUAAGGCUGUAAUAGGAAGUGCAGUAGCACAGAGCUCUGGGCUGGGGAAAUCAAUAUCUGUAUGUAUAUAUCUGUAUAUCGGUUUGGUGCGGCGCACUUCUCUCUCUCUCUCUCUCUCUCUAUAUAUAUAUAUAUAUAUAUAUAUAUAAUAUAUGUAACGUUGUUCAGGAAGGAGCUGGUGUUAAAAGGUGUACUGUAUCUUUAAACUUUAUUUCCCUCCAGCCCCUUCCU
ensembl:lncRNA